rnacentral:rRNA from 1 species
UACAGAGGGGGCAAGCGUUGUUCGGAAUUACUGGGCGUAAAGGGCGCGUAGGCGGCCUUCUAAGUCGAACGUGAAAUCCCCGGGCUCAACCCGGGAACUGCGUCCGAGACUGGAAGGCUUGAAUCCGGGAGAGGGAUGUGGAAUUCCAGGUGUAGCGGUGAAAUGCGUAGAUAUCUGGAGGAAUACCGGUGGCGAAGGCGGCAUCCUGGACCGGCAUUGACGCUGAAGCGCGAAAGCUAGGGGAGCAAACGGG